rnacentral:rRNA from 1 species
UCGAACGGAAAGGCCCUUCGGGGUACUCGAGUGGCGAACGGGUGAGUAACACGUGGGUGAUCUGCCCUGCACUUUGGGAUAAGCCUGGGAAACUGGGUCUAAUACCGGAUAGGACUACGGCCUGCAUGGGUUGUGGUGGAAAGCUUUUGCGGUGUGGGAUGGGCCCGCGGCCUAUCAGCUUGUUGGUGGGGUGAUGGCCUACCAAGGCGACGACGGGUAGCCGGCCUGAGAGGGUGUCCGGCCACACUGGGACUGAGAUACGGCCCAGACUCCUACGGGAGGCAGCAGUGGGGAAUAUUGCACAAUGGGCGCAAGCCUGAUGCAGCGACGCCGCGUGAGGGAUGACGGCCUUCGGGUUGUAAACCUCUUUCAGUAGGGACGAAGCGCAAGUGACGGUACCUAUAGAAGAAGCACCGGCCAACUACGUGCCAGCAGCCGCG